rnacentral:lncRNA from 1 species
CAUGUUUCUAUCCUCGCUGAUCUGAACAUGCGUCUCUUUGAAGAAAACUUGAGGUUACCCAUUCUCUUGGCUUGUGAUCAGGCUUCCAAUUCUUUUUCCUGAAUUUGCAGUGAUAUUUGGAGAGAUGACAUGAGAUCUCUAAUUCUGUACAUUGUCGCGACCCCUUGCCCGCAAGGAAGACGCAACUCGGGAAUCUUCUUUCAACAGUUUAUUCAGGCCCCUGAUAUUUCUUCUUCUCUCUCUCGGAUGCCCCUCCCAGCCUUAAUAAAGCAUCCCAAGCCCCAAUGCAAAGCUGCCGCGUGGAGCUUUCUCACAGGGUGGUGAAAAAUCAUGUGCCAACUUUCCCAGAUAAGGAGUUGUUUGUCACAGACCACAGCGGAGCCAGCGUCAUCUUGUAAUGGCGACCAUAGUCUGCAGAAGCGGCUCACCACAGUACAUUAUUCCAGGGAGGGCAGGAGAAAGAAGGCUUGUGGGGCAGUUUUCCCCUUGUGAUGCCCUGAGUUAUGCAACAGGGUGGCUGCUGCUUAUGGCCCAAAUGAAGGAGUUGGUUUUGUUCAGAUUUUUCUUGCAUGGCUGAGCUGGAGCCGUGUCUAGGGCCAGGUGGGGUUUUGCAAUGUGGGCCCCUAACCCCCUGUCUCUGGACAUGCUGCUUCUGAAGGAGGAGAGUAGGGAGUGAAGACAAUGAUUAGGGAGGGUGGCCUUGGAAUGUUGUAGCACCCAUCAAGAAUACUGCUUAGAAAAAGCUUUGGGAAGGAGAUCCACAUAGUGCAUGAAAGGUCACUAGCUAGUGUUUGCCCCUGGUCAUUGACAGCUCAUCCUUUGCUGUGUGUGUGGGUUGCCCUGUGCAUUGUAGGACAUUGAGCAACAUGUCUGUACUCUGAUCACUAGAUACCAAUCAUAGUUUCCCUUACCCUCAUGUAACU